GGUUGCAAUGAGCUGAGAUCAUGCCACUGCACUCCAAGAUGGCAAGAGAGUGAGACUCUGUCUCAAAAAAAAACAACAACAACAACAAAAAAAAAACAAAAAGAAAACGAAUUAUAGUUACUGAAGGGAAUAUAAAUGUUAUCAGUCAUGGAUAUCUAGGAGAGUACAGCUUUGAAAAGUUUGGAGGUAGAGGGGUUUGAGGCUGCAAUGAGCUAUGAUUGCACCAGAGGUAAUCCAGCCGGGGCAACAGAGGGAGGCCUCAUUUCUAAAAAAUAAGAAGUUUGGAGGUAGAAGCAGAGGUGGAGAGUUCAAGAGAAAUAGGAGUUCACAUCUCCUCCUAUCACGAAAUGGAGAGCCAAGAGGCACCAUCUGUAUUUAAUAGAACUAAAAACAAAAGUUUAAGGAUAUUGAAGUUACUAAAGUGACCAAUAGGACUAAAAAUUGUAGUGUAACUAUCAUGUGUACCUUGUGUUUUAGGGAGGUGAAUUAAGCUGACUUUUUAAUCAGUCCUUGCAAGAGUCAAUAAUGUCACAAAAUAGCAGCUUAAUCCUAUUCAUACAGUUGAAGAUCAUCAGGAGAAUUUAAAACCACAAAGGUCAAAAUGGUUGCCCUUUGGAAGUGGGACUGAGGCUGUGGAGCUGAAAAGCAAGGAACAAUUGCUUUUUGUUGUAGGGCUUCCUCUACUCUUAACCAUUUUUUUUUUCUCUUUUUUUUUACAUUGACAAAACAAAAACCAAACAUAACAAUCCUGGUGAGGGUCAGAGAUCAUCUAUUUUAAUGCCUGGAAAUAUAUUCGGGAUGUCCAAAAGAAGACAUACUGGUCACACUGAAUGACCUGAUUAAAAAUAUUCCAGAUGCCAAAAAGCUUGUUAAGUAUUGGAUAUGUCUUGUACAUAUUGAACCAAUCACAAGUCCUAUUGAAAAUAUUAUUGCAAUCUAUGAGAAAGCCAUUCUGGCAGGGGCUCAGGUAAGAGAAACAUUUACUGAUCUUGACGAUUACAGUGUAGUAGACAAUUUGGAAUUAAUUUGAAACACAUCACAACAUAGCUUGGGAAAAUUGUGGUUGUAUAUGUAGUAGUAAUAAAUGUUUAAAGGCCACAAGGAUUGCUGUUUGUUGGCCUUCUAAGUCUUUUGUUCCUGUACUGGGAAUAAUCAGACUUUAGAAAGUGGGUAUAAGCUGAAAUGUAUAUUUAAUGAAACUUUCUGCAUGAAAUGUCUUAGCAUAUUAUUGUAUGCAUUUCCUGGUUGAAAAUUUAUGGGGAGACUGAAUGUAAUAUUAAAAUUUGUUUAUUGAAUAUAAAGCAAAAGGGAUGAAAUUAGCUUUUUAAAUGUUA